rnacentral:lncRNA from 11 species
AUACAAAAGGAAAUCAUUAGAUGAUGGUAUCAAUGGAUAAAGGGUAGAGAAGUCUUGGACUGGUCCUCCAGGAGGCCAAAGAGAUGUCACAACUCAGUUCAAAAGAUGAAAUACAGAUAAUCUUUAAAGAAGCAAAGUAAUAGAUUUUGAUCAAAUUUAUGUCAAUGUAAUGUUUAAUUUUUCAGGCUGCAAGUGUAAAUAAGUGAACACUUAAGUUCCACCAUUCACUGCUAGAAUACCAUGAUGGGAGAAAAAAAUGGGAAAAGUACAUUUUUGUAAUGCAGUGUUCAGAAUCGUCUAGACACCAGUGCGGAAGGGAUGUGCUCUGUUCUGCAGCAGAGAGAUGCCUGCUGGUUCUGUCUAAAAUGAUGAAAGCACAGAACAGUGAAGAGCAAACAAUAAAAAAAGUUCACAAGUGAUCAGUGAUGAUGAGAGGACUCCAACUGGGUUCUCUAGAGAGCGAUGAUAAAGAAUUAAAAUCUCA